rnacentral:lncRNA from 1 species
GCUGUUUUACAUACACAGUGAAGACCAACCAAUAAGUAUCUAUUUGUUAGAUUCAUUUUGUAUUAAAAUAAACAUCCAACAUUUUGCAGGGGGAUUCUUUGGUAUUAGUGGAUCCAAUGCCAGGACCAAAGGGGCUUCCGGGGAGGAAAGGCGAGCUGGUAAUUAUUUAAUAAUUUGGAUUGAUAGUUUGUUUUCCAAAGCAUUUUCCAUGAGUGUCAAAAGCUGUUUGGAUGAAUUACCCUUCUCUUUAUUUAAGGGACUUCAAGGUUUUGCAGGGGAUCCUGGACCUCCAGGGGAUCCUGGACCUAGAGGAUCAUUUGGGUUGAUCGGCCGUGCAGGUGCACAAGGAUCUAAGGGUCAAGAAGGCAUAGGUGGAAUGCCGGGACCUCGUGGACCAAAGGGGAACCAAGGACCACGAGGCCCACCGGGCCCUCCAGGUCGUGUUAAAGAGUUUUUAAGUGGGUCUCAAGUGUUAAAGGGCACAAAAGGAGACAAAGGAAAUGCGGGAGAAAAAGGGUGCAAGGGUGAACCAGGAGACACGUUUGAUGGUUAUUACUUCAAAGGAGAAAAAGGAGACCAAGGAUCUGUGGGCCAAGAGGUACUGUAUAAGUCUUUGACUUAUGUUCCAGAGAGACUCUGAGGCUGAUCAGCAGAGGGCAGUGAUGUAACAUUACAUACCUAGGACUGUGUAGUCUGUCUGGCAUUGUGAUAUGCAUGUCUAACAUAACCAUUGUGAUUCUUUUGUUCAUGUUAACGUGUAGAAGAUCCUACUAAAACGUCAGAGAAGGAUCGUUUAACCCAAGUCUCAGAGACAGGGACAGUCAUCAGUGGUUUAUCUUUGAUGUAUGUUAAGUCAAAUACUUUAGAUAACAUGACAAGGCAAAAAAUACAUUAGUUUACUAAACAUCAUGCAGGCAAAAGACAACUGGACAGCGUAGGCAAAAGACUGUGAUGUUGGUGUGUACAGAAUGAGGGAAUUUACUAGUAGUCGACCAAAACUGGCUGCAUGACUGGGCAGCACAGAGCUGUGACUAGUUAUGAAACAAGGACUAGUUAGAAUGUAACUGAAUGAAACACAAAAAUGCCUUUAUUGUCUAAUAUUCUUGUCUUUACAGGGAAAGCCAGGAAAGGAUGGUGAUCUUGGAGAACCUGGACACAGGGUACUGCUAUUGAGUGCUAUAAGUGUAUACAUAAGUAGUGUGCAAAAUCAUGAUGAUGUGUGUUUAUAAUGCACUAAGUGAACACAUCGAAUACUUACAGUAUUAAUGCAGUACAGUUUUCUUUAGGGAAGGCCUGGCCCUACAGGUGCAACAGGGUAUCAGGGCACACCUGGAGACAAGGUUGGCAAUCGCUUACUGCCAAAUGCAAUAUGUAAUUGUCUUGGUGCCGUGAUAUACAAAUAAAAUACUUUGUUUGCUUACUUUGAUUUUAAGG